ACACUCCGGUUUUUCCCCUUAUCAGAUCUGAGCAUGGGUCUGCGUGGUUACAAAAGGAGGGAAAGUAACAUUAAAACGGACAUCAACGCUUUCGUUAGUUUCAAAAUUUU
rnacentral:snoRNA from 1 species